rnacentral:rRNA from 1 species
AGAGUUUGAUCAUGGCUCAGAUUGAACGCUGGCGGAAUGCUUUACACAUGCAAGUCGAACGGCAGCACGGGAGCUUGCUCCUGGUGGCGAGUGGCGAACGGGUGAGUAAUAUAUCGGAACGUAUCCAAUAAUGGGGGAUAACUAAGCGAAAGCUUGGCUAAUACCGCAUACGCCCUGAGGGGGAAAGCUAGGGAUCUUCGGACCUGGCGUUGAUGGAGCGGCCGAUAUCUGAUUAGCUAGUUGGUGGAGUAAAGGCCCACCAAGGCGACGAUCAGUAGCUGGUCUGAGAGGACGACCAGCCACACUGGAACUGAGACACGGUCCAGACUCCUACGGGAGGCAGCAGUGGGGAAUUUUGGACAAUGGGCGCAAGCCUGAUCCAGCCAUUCCGCGUGAGUGAAGAAGGCCUUCGGGUUGUAAAGCUCUUUCGCAAGGGAAGAAAGAUUACGCUCUAACAUAGCGUGAUUAUGACGGUACCUUGAUAAGAAGCACCGGCUAACUACGUGCCAGCAGCCGCGGUAAUACGUAGGGUGCGAGCGUUAAUCGGAAUUACUGGGCGUAAAGCGUGCGCAGGCUGUUUUGUAAGUCAGAUGUGAAAUCCCCGAGCUCAACUUGGGAACUGCGUUUGAAACUACAAGACUAGAAUAUGUCAGAGGGGGGUAGAAUUCCACGUGUAGCAGUGAAAUGCGUAGAGAUGUGG